UUAACUAUUAUAUAGUACUCAGACAAUAUGAACAAACAGAGUUUUAGGUCCUCUGGCGGGCACUGACCAGCCGAAGCCGGUGGUCCGAGGACGGGCCCGCCAAAGCAACAAAGGUAUAAUAAACAAAGGGUGGGAGGUAUACCCCGAAGGGCAACGUCUCUUUAAUGAUCCUUCCGCAGGUUCACCUACGGAAA
rnacentral:misc_RNA from 1 species